AGUGAACGCUGGCGGUAGGCCUAACACAUGCAAGUCGAACGGCAGCACAGUAAGAGCUUGCUCUUACGGGUGGCGAGUGGCGGACGGGUGAGGAAUACAUCGGAAUCUACUUUUUCGUGGGGGAUAACGUAGGGAAACUUACGCUAAUACCGCAUACGACCUACGGGUGAAAGCAGGGGAUCUUCGGACCUUGCGCGAUUGAAUGAGCCGAUGUCGGAUUAGCUAGUUGGCGGGGUAAAGGCCCACCAAGGCGACGAUCCGUAGCUGGUCUGAGAGGAUGAGCAGCCACACUGGAACUGAGACACGGUCCAGACUCCUACGGGAGGCAGCAGUGGGGAAUAUUGGACAAUGGGCGCAAGCCUGAUCCAGCCAUACCGCGUGGGUGAAGAAGGCCUUCGGGUUGUAAGGCCCUUUUGUUGGGAAAGAAAAUCAGCAGGUUAAUACCCCGCUGUGCUGACGGUACCCAAAGAAUAAGCACCGGCUAACUUCGU
rnacentral:rRNA from 1 species